rnacentral:lncRNA from 1 species
AUGAAUGACCAGAGAUAUCCUUUUAUGGGGAACAUGAACAUGCAGCACCCGGGAUCCCGAAUGCCUCCUCAUCUGCAGCACCACCCGCGGCCGAGAGGACCUCCUCCCUUCGAGCCGGGACGGCCGCUGGUCCAGCAGCCCCUGCAGCCGCUGAUGCCCCCGCACAUGGUCCACCGCGCGCCGCCUCUGCGCGCCCAAAUGGAGCCGCCGCCUCGAAUGAUGAGCUCGCCCCCACCCGGCUUUCCCCAGCACCCACACCCACCGCCGCCUCCCCAGUCCAAAAACAUCCACAUUAAUCCUCACUUUAGGGGCCCGUCCACGUCUGUGCAAGUGCCCUUGAUGCCUCCUGCUCAGAGCCAGCCUAGACCUGCUGUGGGUCCUCCGAGGUUCCCAGGACAAGGAGAAUUCCAGCAGCACAUGUCUGGUGGUUUUGGUCAG